UCUCACUCUAGCGAGACUGCCGUUGACAAAACGGAGGAAGGGGGGGGAGACGUCAAUCAUCAUGCCCCUUAUGUCCUGGGCUACACACGUAAUACAAUGGCGGUCAACAGAGGGAAGCAAAGCCGCGAGGCAGAGCAAACCCCUAAAAGCCGUCUCAGUUCGGAUUGCAGGCUGCAACUCGCCUGCAUGAAGUUGGAAUUGCUAGUAAUCGCGGAUCAGCAUGCCGCGGUGAAUACGUUCCCGGGCCUUGUACACACCGCCCGUCACACCAUGAGAGUCGGGAACACCCGAAGUCCGUAGCCUAACCGCAAGGAGGGCGCGGCCGAAAGUGGGCCUGAUAAUUGGGGUGAAGUCGUAACAAGGUAACCGUAUA
rnacentral:rRNA from 1 species